CACAGCCCCUGCUCUUGUAGCCAUCCAGCGCACAUACUGUUCAGUAGACAGCUAGGGAAACACAGCCACUGGAGCAGGGUAACAAGAAAAGGGUGGGUAGAUUGCUAACAAUUUACAGAGGGAAAUUCACUGUCUGAAAUCAGUUGAAGUUGAUGCUUGUUUGAAAUGGGGUUUAUUUUACCUUAAAAUUGAAAAGCCAGCGGAAACGGUUGCAAAUUUGCUAAGCCGUAUGAGCCAAAGUUUGACAGUGUGAGUUAGUUUUUUAAAAAGGAGACUGUAUGGUAUAGUAUGUAUUUUAUGGUUGACGUGUACAGUACUCUGAUAUGAGAAAGAAGACUAAAGUCUUUGGUGGAAUCAACAGGGGUUUGCAAAGCAAAAAGAGGGGAGAUUGAAUUGUACACAUGAAACCACUUCCCUCCUCAUCUGCUCAUCAUCUGACUCCCCUCUUCAACCUGACAUCUCCCCAUCAGAAGAGGACUGAAGAGGAGAGCAGUACUGUUCCAGCUCCGGCUCGUCAAGGCUGAGGAGGAGAAACUGACGACAGCGCGAACUUGGUCACCAGUGAGAUGCAACUCAGGGAGGGAACGCUCUGCCGCGUGGUACGACAUCUGAUGAAAGAAGCCCUCGAAUUGGACAGCCUGGAAGACGAGCCAGCCCUCUCCCUCAGAUCCCGUGCCCCCCCACUGUCAAAGUAUGAAAGGAGACGACUUUUCCCUUAGUUGCCAGGGAUGUCUGUGCACUACGGAAAGGCGAAAAAUCCCUUCAGUAUGUCCUAUGCUAUGUUCCUCCUGAUGCUCUGCAAGACGCUGAACCCGACUAGGUGUAACUGGAGAGCCUGGAUGUGUUGUUCCAGGUAUGAACGUUUCCUAGUUUCCAUGGUGAUGCUCUUUUUUUCUUAGACACACUUCCAGCUUUUGUUCUAAAACACAGGAACCAGGGUCCUCAUUUAAAACGUUGCGUGUAAAAAAUAUACUCUAAAACAUGCUUGCGCCAGUUUUCCAGCAAAAGUUGGC
rnacentral:lncRNA from 13 species